GACGGAGGAUGCAAGUGUUAUCCGGAAUCACUGGGCGUAAAGCGUCUGUAGGUGGUUCGAAAAGUCCACUGUUAAAAAUUGAGGCUUAACUUCAAAGAUGCCGUGGAAACUUUCAAACUAGAGUAUGGUAGGGGUAGAGGGAAUUUCCAGUGGAGCUGUGAAAUGCGUAGAUAUUGGAAAGACCACCGAUGGCGAAGGCACUCUACUGGGCCAUUACUGACACUGAGAGACGAAAGCUAGGGGAGCAAAUGGG
rnacentral:rRNA from 1 species